ensembl:lncRNA
AUUGUAAAAAAAAAAAAAGUUUUCUAUUUCGCGGAUUUCACUUAUCGCGGGUCAUUUUCGGAACGUAACCCCCGCGAUAAACGAGGGAUUACUGUAUUUACUUUACUAAUACUACAAGAGGGCGCCCCAUUUGACAUUGUGUUGUUUAGCGGCGCUUUUUGUUGAAUAAAGACAGGCGGACGAGCAAGAGCCUUGUUUUAUUAAUCUGUUUGUUUAAAUGGUUUGUGCUUCAUCAAUUAUUGUUUCACAUAACGAAUGUGCCACAUCAUAAAUAUUUUGAUAUUAAUUUCAAACUUUUCAAACUUGAAAAUUAAAAACAUUUUAUUUAUUUAUUGUAAAUGACCUCUCGCGGCCCACCUGCAGUACCUUCAAAGAGGUGUCAUACCCCCAAAGAGGAGAGGUGCUCUGAGUGACUUUAUCGUUAGCACCACCUGGAUGAAGGAAGCAUACUAUCUAUGAUAACAUGCUAUGAUACCUUGCUUGCAGCUUUGCUAACAACCCUAGCCACUAGGCCAGGCCUAGGAGUUGCCAGCCGCCACUGGGAAGCAGCCAGCUACCACCAGGCAGCAGCUACCCACCACCAGGUAACACCAGCCAGCUGGAAGCAGCUACCCACCACCAGGUAACACCAGCCAGCUGGAAGCAGCUACCCAUCACCAGGUAACACCAGCCAGCUGGAAGCAGCUACCCAUCACCAGGUAACACCAGCCAGCUGGAAGCAGCUACCCAUCACCAGGUAACACCAGCCAGCUGGAAGCAGCUACCCAUCACCAGGUAGCGGCGAGCAGCUGGGGAGGAUGGCUGGACGAACAGCCAUUAAUAAUAAUAAAAUAAUAAUACGGUGGUGAGAAUGGUUAAUGAUAUCUAUGUACAGUGUACAGAGCUGUGCUCCCCUCAUAUUUGACUCUAACAAGAAAUAAAUGUGAUUUUCAAAAGGAUACUUAGCAAGGCAGCAAUAAUCAGAAAGGAAAUUGGAAACAGAAAUGUUGUUUGUUUGUUAUUUUAUUUCUUAAUGUAAAUGUUGUUCUCUACGUCUGUGUUUUUGUUCGUCAACAUUGAUGCAUUUUAUGAUUUGUAUUGUAAUGUUUUUUUGCCUGGACCCCAGGAAGAAUAGUCUCCACUACGGUGUAGACUAACUUCUGCUCAGAUAGAUCCCACACAGAUCACAAUUAAACUCAUGAUUAUCUUUAGACAUCAAUCUAAUAAAACAUUAUGGCACCAUUGUAUUCUACCAUUACACUGGUCGAGUUGGAACAUCUGCGUAUUUAAUUAUGCUGUUGUUGUGCCGGGUGGAAACAGUCAUAUGUGUACAGUGCGUGUAGACUUUUCUUUGACCAAUGCUCGAAAAAACAUUAAAACUUAAAAUGAUAUAAAACUGUGAAAAUGCGAAAUAUAAGAAAAUGCUUAGAAAUAUGAACACAAAAUGUCAAAAGAAUUGGGGGAAAUGUUUUUCCACCUCACUGUAGAUUUAAAAGUACCACUGUAGGUAUAGUGUGUUUAUGUGUGUGCGCACAUUCACAGCUAGUCAAGUGAGGUAAACACAAUUGUCAUACUGACACACUUCCUUCUCAUCCAUCUCUAUGUGGAAGACACACCUGGGGUUAUGACACUGUGUGGUGUCAGCAGUUUCCUCUCGAUGAGUUUUGCAGGCUUCGGUGUCACACAGCUAUUAUUGUUUGUGUGUGUGUGUGUGCAAGUGUGAAUGCUCUUGUUGUUUUGGUCUGUCCAGAGGCGAUGCUUCACUUUACACUGACACUGCAGCAUGUACACAAGUGUGCUUGGAGAUCUUCACACACUUUAUCCUGAGAUGCCCACACACACAAGUCAAAGUAGCUUAAUAAGAUAGAUGAAGUAAUAAUGCAGCGCUGACCUCCUCGCAGUCGUCAGUGCAGAAAAUAACCAACCAACUAUGGUUUAAAAAUCAACAGCAACGCACAAAAACAAACCUCACAGCUAUAGAGAAUGUAGCUGCAAAGCUCUGGCACACAAACCGACAAACGCACAUCUAAUAAUAAACACACUCAUAGUAUUCAUAAUGGCAUCCAGAGUGCUUGUUUGAAGGAGAUGGAAUGUGUGUAGACGUAAAUACCAGGGACAAAGCGACACUUAAAUUAAAUACAUCGAAAAGCAAUAUUUUGCAUGAACUGGAAUUAAUAUCAUCCUUUAUUUAACAAUGAGUUAAUAAUAAUGUAAUUCUCACCCAGUUACACAAGGUGUAGCAGGCCCUGUGAAUGUAACCUUUAUGACAGCCAUUGAGUCACGACAUCCAAAUCCCCACCAGAAGCAGGUUACCAAAGAACAGAGCUAAAGGAAACGCCCUUCAGAGACGGCGGACUUCCUACAGAGACUGUUUUAAUGCCACUCUGGAUGUAUUAUGUGCUUAUUUUAAGUUUGUAUGUUUCACCAAUUUUAAUUAUUAGUUAUGGGGAACUAAUCCCGCACAAACAGAUGAAAGGUCGGCAUCUUAGAUGUAAAGCCAUCUUAACGGAGAGAGAGACACCCAACUGCAAAAGGAGAGUAGAGAAAUAGACAAAGACAAAAAUGGAUGAUGAAAAAAAGUUCAAAUCAACCAAUAUAACAUUUGCUCAAGUGCAUUUGCGCUGGUGUUUUUUCAUGAGUGAGAAUGUAAAGUCUGGGCAUUCCCGACUCUUUGCAGUCAUGCCUCCGAAAUGGUGGAACAAGCUCUCUGACGAUGGCUGCUGUUUCCAAUUUGGGGAUUUCUUACCAACUUUUGGAUAAAAUGGUGUCAUUCAUAUUCCGUUAUGAAUACAAUACAAUUUUUUUUAAGAAUACCGUAGCUGACUUCUUUAAGUACAUUUUAAAAGUCUGUAGACAUCACACUCAGGACUCCUUAGAGAAGAAGCCGUCGUCCAUUGGUAACAGCACACAUUAAGGACGCAGGAGGAACUGAAGGUUACAUUUCUCUUGUGAAGUUGAGAAAGAGUCCAGCUUUUUUUGCUGAGGCUCCACACUUGCAACACUUUUAUCCACAGAUGUCCACCACUUUAUCCUUCUUACUGGCUCUGCAGGCCGACAAAAACACACAAGCCAAACCCGUGUCCUCAGAGAGAAUUUCAUUGUUGUAGUAUGAGUUGUAGGGUCUAUUUUUGGGAGCCCCACUUACUGAUUCAGCCCCCAGGACUCUUUGUUAACAAGUAAACACAACCUCCGCAGCACUCCCACCGUCCUCCACAGUCCACUGUGUGAAUAAGAGACACACACAUCACUGUAUAAAUUCAACUUGCCCUUAUGCAGCCCAAAUUAAAGCAGUGUAGUAGAUGUGCAGUAGUGGGAGUACAAGAAAAACUAUCUUUAUGACAAUCCUUUGUGUGAAUCUGGAGGUUCAGAGUCAGUUCCUUUAGAUUUACACGCAAAAUGUAUGCUCCCAAACACUGAGUGGGAGUCAACUAUUAAACACCGUACAAAGUUUCACCUUUUCACCUCACAACAUAAUAAAACCAUCAUCUAAUUGGACAACAAAAUAAUAAUAUACCACAAUAUGCAGAGCAAAUACCAUGCAUUCUCCCAAACUUUCAUGCAUAUGGGGGUGGGGUUUGGCAGGCUGAUUGAUGAAAGAAUGAAUUGCAGGCGUUAAUCCACCAUGAAGUUUGCUUCACAUCAUCUCCUCCAUCUCUGAUUCCCAAAAGAUACCGAUGUUUCAGCACAAACACACCAUAGAGUCCUGCAGCUGAGUACAAUUUUCCCUUCUUGUGCCGGAUUUCAAUUCAUCCAGGAGGGAAAGCAGUGUCAUUACAUUGAGGCAAAUGGGUCAGUUGCAUGGGGUUGAGAGUCAGCCGGAGCUGAAUUUAUAAUCUCUGGGAAUUUUUUCUUUUUUUCUUUCAAAUGACCACUCAAACUGUAUACAAACCCUGGCCCCCAUAAGGUAUCUUUGAACCGUCUAGUGUGCCGUCAAUCAGGUAUUUUACAUAUGCAAAUAAGCAAUUAGAUAGUAACCUUGAUGUUGCUUUUCUCUUUGUAUCCAUAGUUACUGCCGGGCUGUUGGACUAAAAUGAGCUAAGUACCCAAAAUGGGCUUUUCAAAGUUCAAGCCAGCCUCUCAGAGAUUUAUGUCAACAAAUAAAUCAACACUUCCAUUAUGAUUCAUAUCAUUUUCAAUGAACUAUUUUAGUAUUGUAUAUAAAGUUUUAUUCCCACCUGUCUGAUGAUGGUGAAAGAGUGGAUAAUGGAGUAACUGGUCGGGUGCCAACCCCUCAGCUGUGUUUGCCAUAAUGAAAGUUAAAGCUGUGUAAAACAUGAUGUUUGAAAAUGAUUAACUAAUGAUAGUUUUGUGUUUUGUUUGUUCCAGUGCAGUGUUAAUUUUGGCAGCUAUUUUUGAUUUAGUCUUUAGAAGAAAAAUGCAUAUUAGUUUUAGUCACAUCAUUCAGUCGUUUUAAUCCUUCUUAGUUUUAGUCUAGUUCAAAACUCAUUAACAUUUUAGUCUAGUUUUAGUUGACAAAAACUAGACUAAAAUGUAAAUAGUUUUAGUCUAGUUUUAGUUACAUUUAAUUUUAAACUCCCUUUCUUCCAUUCUCAGGCCCAGGGACCCCCUGUGUUGUGUCUAUAACUGCAUAAUAGUCUAGCUUGCAGUACUUGGUUGUCCAUUAGAUGUCCCUCCUAGGACAGGUCUAUAGAUGUCCCUCCUAGGACAGGUCUAUAGCAGGUCGGUAAACUCUGACUCGCGGCCACAAUGGGUUGUAAAAUUUGACGGAGGAGCCGGGCCAAGAACAAAUGGUUGAAGUGUUUGUGUGAGCGAAUAUAAACGACAUGUGAAAAAUCAUUACAUGAAAGGAUUUGGAUUUUAACAAAUAGCAAAGCAUUUAUUUGCAAGGCAAUUUAACAAAUUGGCAAACGCAACACUUUGUUGUCUUUGUCUGUUUACUUGCAAUGCUUUUGACACUUCAUGCUCCUUUAUGCAGGAAACGCUGCCUGCCGUCGCCAGAGAACAGAGCAGAAAGGUCCGACAGCCUGUUAAACGGGUCUUCAUGUUUCUGUGAAGCAGUGCGGCUUCAGCCUGCUAACAGGCAGCUAAACCGAGACAACGAAGCUAAACUAACGAAGCCACAUUCAAUCUCGCCGAAGCGUAAAAUAGUCGUCGCGGUCCGUAGUCGGUGCACAAGAACCACCGCUGCACCGCUGCGAGAGUUCUGGGUUUGGAUGACGUCAUCAUGGCGCGUUAAUAUCCGCGUACGGGCCCGUACUUUGCCGGUCUGUUGUCUGUUAGGUGCGUGCAAAUUUAAGGGGGGGAAAGUAUCGUGACUUCGUCAACCACCAACAUUUUCGUCUCGUUAACGAAAGAUAGAAUAGAUUUAGUCGAAGUUUUUAUUUUUUAAGAUCGUUUUCGUCACGUCUUAGUCUCGCCUUAGUCAUGGAAAAAAGGUUUGUUAACCAAAAUUUUUUGUCAGUUUUCGUCAACGAAAUUAACACUGUUCCAGUGUCUGUUGAUAAGUAAAGUGAAAAUUGAAAAAAAAAGAAUACUUCUGCCCGAUGCUUCUCCCAUUCCGUGUCCCUGAUCCAAGAUGGCGCCGAUGAUGGCUGCCACGGUGCUUCGGUGCGCUUCGUUUUUUGUUGUUAAUUAGGUUUCCUGUUGUGAUUCCCGGAGCUCUUUCACCAGAGAUGAGCUCUUGAACAUCCGUGGAACAACUCCAGCGGAGUUACUUCCAACUUUCCUGCUUUCUUCCGUGGAAUUACUGGACAUUUUAGUCAAAGGUGCGCUCACCUUUCGUCACGCGGUGAGACGCCGUAGGAGAGGAAAACGGGCCGGCUCGCUGGUGAGACUCCGCAGGCGUGGUUCUCGCACUCCGCUGCCAGGCAUCUUUCUCUUCAACGUGCGCUCACUGUGCAACAAACUGGACGAAAUUCAGCUGCUGAUGAGGAGAGACAGAGACUUCUCUACAUCCUCCGUCUUGUGCUUCACGGAGACGUGGCUCUGCGGAUCGAUACCGGACUCCGCGCUCCAGCUGGCGGGCUUCAGCUGCUCCGAGCGGACCGCGACACGGAGCUCUCCGGCAAGACGAAGGGUGGAGGAAUCUGCUUCUACUUCAACAACAGCUGGUGCAACGACGUAACGGUGAUCCUACAACACUGUUCUCCUGAUCUGGAAACUUUUUUCAUCAACUGCAAACCCUUUUAUUCCCCCCGUGAGUUCGCUUCAUUCAUCCUGGUCGGUGUUUACAUGCCGCCGGCGGGCAACGUGCACGAGGCACAGCGGACACUCGCCGACCAGAUACGGCGUGUGGAGCGGACCAACCCGGACUCCGGAGGUAAUCUCACCCAUGAACUUCCUAAAUACAGACAGUUUAUUAAAUGCCCCACCAGAGAGGAGAACACGCUGGAUCACUGUUAUACCACAGUAAGCAGGGCUUAUCACACUGGGACACUCUGACCACGUCAUGGUCCAUUUGAUUCCUGCAUACAGGCAGAAACUAAAGCUCCGCAAACCUGUGGUGAGGGAAUUCAAGAAGUGGACCAGUGAGGCGCUGGAGGAUCUUCGGGCGUGCUUUGACUGCACAGACUGGGAUGUUUUCAGGACGGCUACUGACAGUCUGGAUGAGUUCACAGAGGCUGUAACUUCCUACAUCGGCUUCUGUGAGGACAGCUGUGUACCAUCAUGCACCAGGGUGAGUUACAACAACGACAAACCUGGUUCACAGCGGAACUCAGAACACUACGCCUGCAGAAGGAUCAGGCAUUUAGGAGUGGAGACAAAGACUUGUACACAGAAGCAAAAUACAAGUUUAGCAAGGCGGUGAGAGACGCUAAACGACUGUACUCUGAGAAACUCCAACAACAGUUCUCAGCAAGUGACACUGCUUCGGUCUGGAGACAAACACCUCACCAACUACAAGCCAAAAAACCCCCACUCCAUGAAUGACCUCCGCCUGGCAGACGACCUGAAUGAGUUCUACUGCAGAUUCGAAAGACAAUGUCCUGAUCCCAUCCCCCACAGCUCCACCAACCUGCUGCAGUCCCCCUCCCCUCCCUCCCCCAGCCCAUCAGGUGCUCACGCCUCUUCAACUAUAUCACCUUCCCCUCCCCCACCAGCAACGACCCUCUCUAUUCUGGAGAGAGACGUUAACCGGCUCUUUAAAAGACAAAAUCCCCGUAAGGCAGCCGGUCCGGACUCAGUCUCCCCUCACACCCUGAAGCAUUGUGCUGACCAGCUGUCUCCGGUGUUCACUGACAUCUUCAACACCUCCCUGGAGACCUGCCACGUACCAGCCUGCUUCAAGGCCUCCACCAUCAUCCCUUGUUACGUCCCCCAGCUCUGGUGUUUGUUGCUACACGUGUUUGGGUGCACGCAGUGUCCUGAUUACAGAUGAGCCACACCUGAGCAGAACCUGUGUUGGCGCUACAAAGGCUUCCUGGACCAUUCGGGGGCCACACAGAUCCUUCAGUCUGCACAACGGUGCUUGCUGCUGCCAAGAUCGCCGUUCAGCCGUCCACCCGGCAGUGAAAAACGUUCCACAUUUGUAUUUUGUUUUAGUUUGUUGUUAAGAUACCUUUAAUAUCCAUUCUGUUAAAUAAAAUACCCCUAUCGUAUUUUGAUACGAGCCGGUUUGUGUGUGUCUCGCCUUUAUGUUAAGGGUGGUGUCCGACCGCCCGUAACAUCCCUGUUCCCAAGAAGCCCAGGAUCAUCACACAUGGGCCAAGUGUUUUAUGAGCAAAUACAGAAUCCCUUUGUGUUCAUUUCUAAAGCCUCCCAUUAAGACACACGUCACUUUAUUUAAGACGCUGCGCUACUUGCAAGUUGCAGUCUUGUGCCAGAUUCUCAAUAAAGUCAGACAAAAACAUGUACGGCAUUCCCGCUGUCAUGAAGAUACUCAUUUAACGUUACAUGGAAUCUGCAUGAGGAGGAGGGUUCGUGUCGCUAAAUACCCAACUGAGAUCGGCUUGUGCCGUUCUGACAAAGGAACCUGCCACCAACUAUUUUGGUCAACCAAUAUGGUGUCUGAAUGGCAUAUGUUUUGUACUUCUCAUCCAACCACAAUCAAAUUCACUCUAUCUAGAUUGUGCGUUAUUUUGUGGUGCGCGUAUACACAGCGUUAGCACGUAGCUAACCAGCUAGCUAAACUUCCUGGUGUAGAAGGCUUCGUAUAUGCGGCUUUCCUUUCACGCCGGUCUGUUGUCUGAUUGUGGGGCUGAUCUGGGUCCAGUUGUUUUCCCUCUAGUUUCGCCAACAGUUCUUUUCUCAAAUGGGUCUUGGAGUAGAAGAUGUACUGAGUUUGGGUCGGGUCUUCAUGGAAGGACACUGCUUGUCGUUGCUCUUACUGUGUUGUAAAAACUGCACCUCUCGAGACUCGCCCUGGCGAGAGCGCGGCGUAGGGCGGCGAAGGGGUUAGCCCAAAGCUGAAUGUAUUUUAGGACGCUGAAAUUAUAUGUCACUAAUUCAUCUUUAUCAGUGAUUGGCUAAACUGCUUCUUAGACCCGCCUCUUUGGUCCUGGCUAGAGCCCAACUGAGACAUGCGGAAAGAACGCGCUGAUAUCAUAUCCAAACACAGUCAUGCCCGCACGUCAUUUUGCGGUGCGCGUAUACACAGCGUUAGCACGUAGCUAACUAGCUAGGUAAACCUCCCGGUGUAGAAGUCUCUACAGAAGCUCAGAACGACUCGUUUACUCAGAUUUUCAAAGAAAGAUGCACUAUAGCCAGCAUGUACAACAUUCACUGCCUUCAACUUAAAUAAGGGCGACCUGUUUCACAGAUUUUCAAUUAUUUGACCUAAGACC